rnacentral:rRNA from 1 species
GAUGAACGCUGGCUACAGGCUUAACACAUGCAAGUCGAGGGGAAACGACGGGGAAGCUUGCUUCCCCGGGCUUCGACCGGCGCACGGGUGAGUAACGCGUAUCCAACCUGCCUCUGACUGAGGGAUAACCCGUCGAAAGUCGGUCUAAUACCUCAUGGCAUCUUCUGCGGGCAUCCAACGACGAUUAAUGAUUUUAUCGGUCAGAGAUGGGGAUGCGUCUGAUUAGUUUGUGGGCGGGGUAACGGCCCACCAAGGCGACGAUCAGGAGGGGUUCUGAGAGGAAGGACACCCACGUUGGAACUGAGACACGGUCCAAACUCCUACGGAAGGCAGCAGUAAGGAAUAUGGGUGAAGGAGCGAGGGCCUGAACCAGCCGAGUGGCGUGCAGAAUGACGGCCCUAUGGGUUGUAAACUGCUUUUAUGGGGGGAAAAGGUGAGUGACGUGUCCUUAAUUGCAGGUACCGCAUGAAUAAGGACCGGCUAAUUCCGUG